ensembl:lncRNA
GUAGGGGUGGGGGAUGACCAGGGUGAUCAGAAGCUGCUACCCUGGGGACAGCCUGAAUCUGGGCUUGCUGCCUGCCUGGGAAGUAAAAUGAGCUCACCCCCUCUACCCCCGCUGCUACACACACACACAAGAAAAGAGAGACCUCUGGGUACCCCCUAAGGGGCUGAGGUGAGGUGAGCGCGGCUAGAUUAAUACUCAGCAGAGAGAGAAGUCAGUCCUCCACUCUCAGGAUUCUUCUUCAUGGAAAUUCAGCAGGGCCCAGCAGUGCUGACUCAAUGGCAAAACAGUGUCGCCCAAGGGAUCACCUUCAGCUAAACAACCUCAAGCCCAGAAGUGACAGUGAUUCUGUCACGUUCCCCCAUCCCAGCAUCCUCCCUGAGAGCUCUGGUCUCCUCUAGGAAGGCCCAUCUGUGAAGUGGUGCGCCCUCUGGGGAGUCUGGCAGUGGAGGUGACAGAUGCUGAGCAGCUGACUGGGGAGGGGGUGUCCAUCUCCACGGACCCCUUGGUGUGUGCUGAGGGGAACGGGGA